UACGGGGGGGGCAAGCGUUGUUCGGAAUUACUGGGCGUAAAAGGCUCGUAGGCGGCCAACUAAGUCAGACGUGAAAUCCCCAGGCUCAACCUGGGAACUGCGUCUGAUACUGGAUGGCUUGAAUUCGGGAGAGGGAUGCAGAAUUCCAGGUGUAGCGGUGAAAUGCGCAGAUAUCAGGAAGAACACCCGUGGCGAAGGCGGCUCUCUGGGACGGUACUGACGCUGAGACGCGAAAGCGUGGGGAGCGAACAGG
rnacentral:rRNA from 1 species